GAUGAACGCUGGCGGCGUGCCUAAUACAUGCAAGUCGAGCGAACAGACGAGGAGCUUGCUCCUCUGACGUUAGCGGCGGACGGGUGAGUAACACGUGGAUAACCUACCUAUAAGACUUGGAUAACUUCGGGAAACCGGAGCUAAUACCGGAUAAAAUUUUGAACCGCAUGGUUCAACAGUGAAAGACGGUCUUGCUGUCACUUAUAGAUGGAUCCGCGCCGCAUUAGCUAGUUGGUAAGGUAACGGCUUACCAAGGCAACGAUGCGUAGCCGACCUGAGAGGGUGAUCGGCCACACUGGAACUGAGACACGGUCCAGACUCCUACGGGAGGCAGCAGUAGGGAAUCUUCCGCAAUGGGCGAAAGCCUGACGGAGCAACGCCGCGUGAGUGAAGAAGGUCUUCGGAUCGUAAAACUCUGUUAUUAGGGAAGAACAAAUGUGUAAGUAACUAUGCACGUCUUGACGGUACCUAAUCAGAAAGCCACGGCUAACUACGUG
rnacentral:rRNA from 1 species